rfam:Corchorus capsularis cultivar CVL-1 contig07065, whole genome shotgun sequence.
AUUUGAUGAUUGGGGCAGCUCGCACAAAGUGUCUUGAAACGUUCCCAAUAUUCAUGCAUUGUUUCUCCAUGGCGUUGCUUAAUUCCACAAAUCUCCUUUCUUAUGCU